rnacentral:lncRNA from 1 species
AUGGAACAAUGGCCUAUGCUGCUUGCUGCUUCUCUGAGGUGCAGCUUAGGAAUGUCUGCGUGGAGCUCCAGCAGUCCAGGCCAACUAGACAUUAUGAGUAUAAGGCCUUUGGUGAGGAUUUGCCACCAGAUCUACCUGCAGAUGUACAUACGAACUGGGACUAUAGGCAAAUGGGUUGGAUCUGUUAAAGUUCUAGUGUCACAAGAGGGAACCAAAGGAGACCCUCAAAAACCACCCUGGGAGCAAAAGCAACCAUACUUGGGAACCUGUUGGGCCCUUGAGCUUGCUGCUUUCUCGUUCCCUCUGGAGGUGAUUGAAUCUACCCUUCGGAACUCAGAGAAGGUCAACUAA